GACGAACUUUGGCGGCGUGCUUAACACAUGCAAGUCGAACGGAAAGGCCCUGCUUUUGUGGGGUGCUCGAGUGGCGAACGGGUGAGUAACACGUGAGUAACCUGCCCUUGACUUUGGGAUAACUUCAGGAAACUGGGGCUAAUACCGGAUAGGAGCUCCUGCUGCAUGGUGGGGGUUGGAAAGUUUCGGCGGUUGGGGAUGGACUCGCGGCUUAUCAGCUUGUUGGUGGGGUAGUGGCUUACCAAGGCUUUGACGGGUAGCCGGCCUGAGAGGGUGACCGGCCACAUUGGGACUGAGAUACGGCCCAGACUCCUACGGGAGGCAGCAGUGGGGAAUAUUGCACAAUGGGCGGAAGCCUGAUGCAGCAACGCCGCGUGCGGGAUGACGGCCUUCGGGUUGUAAACCGCUUUCGCCUGUGACGAAGCGUGAGUGACGGUAAUGGGUAAAGAAGCACCGGCUAACUACGUGCCAGCAGCCGCGGUGAUACGUAGGGUGCGAGCGUUGUCCGGAUUUAUUGGGCGUAAAGGGCUCGUAGGUGAUUGAUCGCGUCGGAAGUGUAAUCUUGGGGCUUAACCCUGAGCGUGCUUUCGAUACGGGUUGACUUGAGGAAGGUAGGGGAGAAUGGAAUUCCUGGUGGAGCGGUGGAAUGCGCAGAUAUCAGGAGGAACACCAGUGGCGAAGGCGGUUCUCUGGGCCUUUCCUGACGCUGAGGAGCGAAAGCGUGGGGAGCGAACAGGCUUAGAUACCCUGGUAGUCCACGCUGUAAACGGUGGGUACUAGGUGUGGGGUCCAUUCCACGGGUUCCGUGCCGUAGCUAACGCUUUAAGUACCCCGCCUGGGGAGUACGGCCGCAAGGCUAAAACUCAAAGGAAUUGACGGGGCCCCGCACAAGCGGCGGAGCAUGCGGAUUAAUUCGAUGCAACGCGUAGAACCUUACCUGGGUUUGACAUGGAUCGGGAGUGCUCAGAGAUGGGUGUGCCUCUUUUGGGGUCGGUUCACAGGUGGUGCAUGGCUGUCGUCAGCUCGUGUCGUGAGAUGUUGGGUUAAGUCCCGCAACGAGCGCAACCCUUGUUCACUGUUGCCAGCACGUUAUGGUGGGGACUCAGUGGAGACCGCCGGGGUCAACUCGGAGGAAGGUGGGGAUGACGUCAAGUCAUCAUGCCCCUUAUGUCCAGGGCUUCACGCAUGCUACAAUGGCUGGUACAGAGAGUGGCGAGCCUGUGAGGGUGAGCGAAUCUCGGAAAGCCGGUCUCAGUUCGGAUUGGGGUCUGCAACUCGACCUCAUGAAGUCGGAGUCGCUAGUAAUCGCAGAUCAGCAACGCUGCGGUGAAUACGUUCCCGGGGCU
rnacentral:rRNA from 1 species